rnacentral:sRNA from 1 species
AGAUACCACGCGUGCACUGCCGUUCCUCCGCGCCGGCCGCACCCACAUGGCAACCGCUGGCCACGUCGUGCUGGCA